GGACUACUCGGGUAUCUAAUCCUGUUUGUUACCCAAGCCUUCGUCCCUCAACGUCAGUUAUUAGACAAAAGGUUGCUUUCGCCGUUGACAGUCCUCAUGGUAUCAAAAAAUUUCAUCUCUACUCCAUGAAUACUCCCCUUCUCCUAUAAAACUCUAGCAAUAUCGUACCCUGUUUUGGGCUAAUAAUGCCGUCUAGGUACCCUUUAAACCUAUUAAAGAUGAAUAACACUAGUCUUCUACGUAUUACCGCGGCUGCUGGCAC
rnacentral:rRNA from 1 species